rnacentral:lncRNA from 1 species
UCAAAGAAGAGGGAGCUAACAUCCCUUAGCUUUAUAAGUCCCACAGAAAAAUGAAUAUGUAGACAUCUGCCUGGACUAAUCAAGUAAUCACUGCUCUUUGUGACCUUCAAUGCCGUUCUUCACUCAAAAACCUCAAAGCACAAAGAAUUUUUCUGAGGCAGCAACAAAACAGAAAAGGAUGUGAGAAAGAUUUCUCACCUGUAAUAUCAAAAAAGUUAGAGCCUGCUCAUUUGGACAAUAGCACCAGGUUUGCACAGGCUUUAACCACCAGACCAUAAACACGGCUCUGUGAACAGGUGCUGUGGGCUGGAGACAGCUUUGAACAUCAGAAACAAAAGGAAGAGAAGAAACCUUUGGAAGCUUCAUCUGUGGUCUGAAAGCCAAAGCUCUGCCUUUCUUGCUUUCUGCCUCAUCAGUCAUGAAGAUUUUGCAGGGAGAGCUGAGUUGAUGCCAGUGCUGGUAAGCCAAAAUUGAAAGCAGCUCCCUUUUCUAGGUCUCCAUUAGCUUUGCAGCAGCAGCAGGCCUAGAAAUGAAUAGCCAUUUAUUUCAGUUACUGGGGGAAUCAACCAUGCCUAAGGAU